GACGAACGCUGGCGGCGUGCUUAACACAUGCAAGUCGAACGGAAAGGCCCUGCUUUUGUGGGGUGCUCGAGUGGCGAACGGGUGAGUAACACGUGAGUAACCUGCCCUUGACUUUGGGAUAACUUCAGGAAACUGGGGCUAAUACCGGAUAGGAGCUCCUGCUGCAUGGUGGGGGUUGGAAAGUUUCGGCGGUUGGGGAUGGACUCGCGGCUUAUCAGCUUGUUGGUGGGGUAGUGGCUUACCAAGGCUUUGACGGGUAGCCGGCCUGAGAGGGUGACCGGCCACAUUGGGACUAAGAUACGGACCAGACUCCUACGGGAGGCAGCAGUGGGAAAUAUUGCACAGUGGGCGGAAGCCUGAUGCAGCAACGCCGCGUGCGGGAUGACGGCCUUCGGGUUGUAAACCGCUUUCGCCUGUGACGAAGCGUGAGUGACGGUAAUGGGUAAAGAAGCACCGGCCAACUACGUG
rnacentral:rRNA from 1 species